rnacentral:piRNA from 2 species
UUGCAAGGAAAAAGGACAUUGGG